GCGUCGGUAGCGCAACGGUUCAACAAGCGCUCCUGGAAAGAGUGAAACGUGGGUUCGAAUCCCACCUAACGCA